rnacentral:lncRNA from 1 species
UUCAUCACCAUGGCAACAGCCUUAUCUGCCGCCCUAGAGCCUUUUCCCUAUAACAGUGAAAUCAACAAUGACUGUGUCAGGAGAGAUCUUUAACUUAUUAUUUAUUACAAGAUAUUCUAAUGUUUAAAGAGCAAUCCAACAUAAAUGAAGAGCUUACGUUUUUCAAGAGAGCAAAGUCAUUUGUGAAGAAUUCUUUCCAUGCUUCAAACAUAAGAAACAGCAUACACAAUACUGGACAUCACAGGACCCUCUCCGGCUGGAUACCAGGCUGUAGAACCACCAGAUGCUUCAGAUGAGAAAGGUUGGAUCUGUUUCACAGGGAAGGGGCUAAACUGUUUCAAGAGGCGACCACGCGCUGGGCACUCUGGCUGGAGUGCAGUGGUGUGAUCUCGGUUCACUGCAACCUCAACCUCCUCGGCUCAUGUGGAUCCUCCCACCUCAGCUUCCUAAGUAGCUGAGACUACAGUACUUUGCAACCUACCAAGUAUCAUCACAAGAGCUAUGAAAGUGAAGAGAGACAUACGUUAUCUAAGAAUCUGAGAGAGAUGACUCAGUCAGCAUCCUCUCUCUUGGUGUACAAUGGUAGGGACAGCUACUGUGUCAUCUGGAGCAUGACAAUGAGAACACAGACACUGGAUCGUCCUGAUAUAGCCUGCAGUCCAUCUGGGCCUCUAGACAUUCAUUUGCAUUUGCAUUCAUGCGCAUCCCCUACUACUCCAACUCCUACACCUUUUGGCAGGAUAUAUCCACACAGCUGGAUUGGAAUCACAAGAUGUUUUUAUUUUUUGCCUCAUUAAACUAGUUUCUCUCAAGCA